rnacentral:rRNA from 1 species
GUGGGGAGUAUUGGACAAUGGGCGCAAGCCUGAUCCAGCCAUGCCGCGUGAGUGAUGAAGGCCCUAGGGUUGUAAAGCUCUUUCACCGGUGAAGAUAAUGACGGUAACCGGAGAAGAAGCCCCGGCUAACUUCGUGCCAGCAGCCGCGGUAAUACGAAGGGGGCUAGCGUUGUUCGGCAUUACUGGGCGUAAAGCGCACGUAGGCGGGUAUUUAAGUCAGGGGUGAAAUCCCGGAGCUCAACUCCGGAACUGCCUUUGAUACUGGGUACCUAGAGUAUGGAAGAGGUAAGUGGAAUUCCGAGUGUAGAGGUGAAAUUCGUAGAUAUUCGGAGGAACACCAGUGGCGAAGGCGGCUUACUGGUCCAUUACUGACGCUGAGGUGCGAAAGCGUGGGGAGCAAACAGGAUUAGAAACCCCUGUAGUCC